rnacentral:tRNA from 5 species
GUCGGAGUGGCGGAAUUGGCAUACGCGCUAGACUAAGGAUCUAGUGCCCGCAAGGGCGUGGGGGUUCAAGUCCCCCCUCCGACACCA